rnacentral:rRNA from 1 species
GACGAACGCUGGCGGCGUGCUUAACACAUGCAAGUCGAACGCUGAAGACCUGGCUUUUGUUGGGUUGGAUGAGUGGCGAACGGGUGAGUAACACGUGAGUAACCUGCCCUCUUCUUUGGGAUAACGCCCGGAAACGGGUGCUAAUACUGGAUAUUCACUGAUCUUCGCAUGGGGGUUGGUGGAAAGGUUUGUUCUGGUGGGGGAUGGGCUCACGGCCUAUCAGCUUGUUGGUGGGGUGAUGGCCUACCAAGGCUUUGACGGGUAGCCGGCCUGAGAGGGUGACCGGUCACAUUGGGACUGAGAUACGGCCCAGACUCCUACGGGAGGCAGCAGUGGGGAAUAGUGCACAAUGGGCGAAAGCCUGAUGCAGCGACGCCGCGUGAGGGAUGGAGGCCUUCGGGUUGUAAACCUCUUUCGCUCAUGGUCAAGCCGCAACUGUGGGUUGUGGUGAGGGUAGUGGGUAAAGAAGCGCCGGCUAACUACGUG